UACGAAGGGGGCUAGCGUUGCUCGGAAUCACUGGGCGUAAAGGGUGAGUAGGCGGCCGGCUAAGUCAUAUGUGAAAAUCCAGGGCUCAACCCUGGACCUGCAUAAGAAACUGGCAGGCUUGGAGUGCAGGAGAGGUAAGCGGAAUUCCUAGUGUAGCGGUGAAAUGCGUAGAUAUUAGGAAGAACACCAGUGGCGAAGGCGGCUUACUGGACUGUAACUGACGCUGAGUCACGAAAGCGUGGGGAGCGAACAGG
rnacentral:rRNA from 1 species